rnacentral:rRNA from 1 species
ACUCCUACGGGAGGCAGCAGUAAGGAAUAUUGGUCAAUGGACGGAAGUCUGAACCAGCCAUGCCGCGUGUGUGAAGAAGGCCUUUUGGUUGUAAAGCACUUUAAGCGAGGAGAAGGCUACCGAGAUUAAUACUCUUGGAUAGUGGACGUUACUCGCAGAAUAAGCACCGGCUAACUCUGUGCCAGCAGCCGCGGUAAU